CCCAUGUCCCCAAUCUACAUAUUUGAAUAAAUGAAAGAGAAUUAUGUGGCAAGAAACUCUGCUGCUACAAAGUUGUAAUUAUAACAAGUUAAAAGUUUAAUGUAAGUAGAUCUUAGUAGGUUGAAAACUUGAAGUUAACACAGCUAUGGGACAUCAAGAAAAAGUAAAGGACACCUAAAAUGAAUUUAAAAUUGAUAUCGAAUAGUACCUCCUUCCUCAAAUGAGGCACAGGUGCUAAUUCUCUGUCGAAACAGGUCAGUACGUAGGUGCGUCUAUCUGUGUGUAAGCUCCUCCAAGAAAUAAAAGUAAAUGUUGAGACAUACAAUAUGCUGACUCUUUAUGGUGGGUUUAACUUGAUUCUUCUAGCAUUCCGUCUCUCCAAUCUGACACUGCUUCUUUUGGUUGUAAGGUACAUUUUAUUUCAGUUGAAUAUCUCAGGAAUUAUCUACUGCAAUCCCUAAAAGUGAGAACCAUAUGCCAAA
rnacentral:lncRNA from 1 species